rnacentral:rRNA from 1 species
GCGGUAGCAGGGAGAAAGCUUGCUUUCUCCGCUGACGAGCGGCGGAUGGGUGAGUAAUGUCUGGGGAUCUGCCUGAUGGAGGGGGAUAACUACUGGAAACGGUAGCUAAUACCGCAUAACGUCGCAAGACCAAAGUGGGGGACCUUCGGGCCUCAUGCCAUCAGAUGAACCCAGAUGGGAUUAGCUAGUAGGUGGGGUAAUGGCUCACCUAGGCGACGAUCCCUAGCUGGUCUGAGAGGAUGACCAGCCACACUGGAACUGAGACACGGUCCAGACUCCUACGGGAGGCAGCAGUGGGGAAUAUUGCACAAUGGGCGCAAGCCUGAUGCAGCCAUGCCGCGUGUAUGAAGAAGGCCUUCGGGUUGUAAAGUACUUUCAGUAGGGAGGAAGGUGUGAGCGUUAAUAGCGUUCACAAUUGACGUUAC